rnacentral:tRNA from 1 species
AGUCUUUGCGCCCGGUAGGGGCAUGCUGAUUUCGGCUCAGUAGGGGUGGGUUAAAUUCACGGAGAUUU